GCGCGCGCGCUCACUGAGAGAAAAGCAGCUCAUCAUCAUCUCAGAAGGACUGCAGACACACACACAGAGAGAUAAAGAGAGACAGAAUAAAUGCCGAAAUAAGAUCCGUCCUGAAAGCGUGAUCGUGAGAGAAAGAGAGAGAGAGAUAGAGAGACGGAAUAAAUCAAUGCAGAAAUUCACUUAAAACACAUAUUCUGUCAUUGCCGGUCAUCGCGAUGGGGAACCGGGGGAUGGAGGAUCUGAUUCCUCUGGUCAACCGAAUGCAAGAUGCGUUCUCCGCCAUCGGGCAGAACGCGGAGCUGGACCUGCCGCAGAUCGCGGUGGUGGGCGGACAAAGCGCCGGGAAAAGCUCCGUUCUCGAGAACUUCGUGGGGAAGGACUUCCUCCCGCGCGGAUCUGGCAUCGUCACCCGCCGUCCGCUCGUCCUCCAGCUCAUCAACUGCCCCACAGAAUAUGCCGAGUUCCUCCACUGUAAGGGGAAGAAGUUCACGGAUUUCGAUGAGGUGCGUCAGGAGAUCGAGGCGGAGACGGAUCGGGUCACGGGACAGAAUAAAGGCAUCUCACCCGUGCCCAUCAACCUGCGGGUCUAUUCGCCAAACGUACUGAACCUGACGCUGGUGGAUCUGCCUGGAAUGACUAAAGUGCCGGUGGGAGAUCAGCCGGCAGACAUCGAGCACCAGAUCAGAGAUAUGCUGAUGCAGUUCGUGACCAAAGACAACUGUCUUCUGCUCGCCGUAUCGCCCGCCAACUCGGACCUCGCCAACUCUGACGCGCUGAAGAUCGCCAAAGAAGUCGACCCGCAGGGUCAGCGGACUAUCGGUGUCAUCACUAAACUGGAUCUCAUGGAUGAAGGGACCGACGCUCGGGAUAUCCUGGAAAACAAGCUCCUGCCUCUGAGACGAGGUUACAUCGGUGUGGUGAACCGCAGUCAGAAAGACAUCGACGGAAAGAAGGAUAUUAACGCGGCUAUGGCUGCGGAGAGGAAGUUUUUCCUGUCUCAUCCCAGUUAUAGACACCUGGCCGACCGCAUGGGAACGCCGUUCCUGCAGAAAACCCUCAACCAGCAACUGACCAAUCACAUCCGCGACACGCUCCCGGCGCUGCGUGCCAAACUGCAGAGCCAGGUGCUGUCCAUCGAGAAAGAAGUGGACGAAUACAAGAACUUCCGUCCGGACGACCCGUCCCGCAAGACCAAGGCCCUGUUGCAGAUGGUGCAGCAGUUCUCGGUGGACUUUGAGAAGCGUAUAGAGGGAUCUGGAGAUCAGAUAGACACGUAUGAGCUCUCCGGAGGAGCCCGCAUCAAUCGCAUCUUCCACGAGCGCUUCCCCUUCGAGCUGGUGAAGAUGGAGUUUGAUGAGAAGGAGCUGCGCAAGGAGAUCAGCUACGCCAUCAAGAACAUCCACGGCAUCAGAACUGGGCUCUUCACACCGGACAUGGCCUUUGAGACCAUUGUGAAAAGGCAGAUCAUGAAGACUAAAGAGCCGUGCCAGAAAUGUGUGGACAUGGUCAUUUCUGAGCUAGUCAAUACCGUUAGGCAGUGUACUAAGAAGUUGGCCCAGUAUCCCAUGCUGAGAGAGGAGAUGGAGCGGAUCGUCACUCAGCACAUCCGAGACCGCGAGAGCCGCACUAAAGAUCAGGUGCUGCUGUUGAUUGACAUCGAGCUGGCGUACAUGAACACCAACCAUGAAGAUUUCAUCGGGUUUGCCAAUGCUCAGCAGAGAAGCAGUCAGGCGAGCAAGAAGAAAGCGGCGGGUAAUCAGGGCCAGGAUGAAAUCAUGGUGAUCAGGAAGGGCUGGCUGACCAUCAAUAACAUCGGCAUCAUGAAGGGCGGCGCUAAAGAGUACUGGUUUGUGCUGACGGCCGAAUCGCUGUCCUGGUACAAGGAUGACGAGGAGAAAGAGAAGAAGUACAUGCUGCAGGUGGACAAUCUGAAGCUCAGAGAUGUGGAGAAGGGCUUCAUGUCCAGCAAACACAUCUUUGCCCUGUUCAACACUGAGCAAAGGAACGUGUAUAAGGACUACCGUCAGCUGGAGUUGGCCUGUGAGAGUCAGGAGGACGUGGACGGCUGGAAGGCGUCGUUCCUGCGCGCCGGCGUUUACCCCGAGCGUGUGGUGGAGAAGGAAAAGAGUGACGCCGGGGAAGAGAACGGUUCGGACGGGUUCAUGCACUCCUUGGACCCUCAGCUGGAGCGGCAGGUGGAGACCAUCCGAAACCUGGUGGACUCGUACAUGAGCAUCGUCAACAAGACUGUACGAGACCUGAUGCCCAAGACCAUCAUGCACCUGAUGAUUAACAACACGAAGGAGUUCAUCAACGCGGAGCUGUUGGCUCAGCUGUACUCGUGUGGAGACCAGAACACCCUGAUGGAGGAGUCUGCGGACCAGGCGCAGCACCGGGACGAGAUGCUCCGCAUGUAUCACGCUCUGAAAGAAGCGCUCCAGAUCAUCGGGGACAUCAGCACCACCACCGUCACCACGGCCCUGCCUCCACCCGUGGACGACUCCUGGCUGCAGGUGCAGCGCUCCGGCUCCGGGGGAAGGUCUCCGGCCGCCAGCCCGACCCCUCAGAGACGAGCUCCUCCUCCAGGACCCCCGGGACGCCCAGUUUCUCGUGGUUCGGCCCCGGUGCCCCCCGCUGCCGGCGGACCCCCCGUCCCCUCACGCCCGGGAGCCUCUCCAGACCCGUUCGGUGGACCCCCGCCUCAGGUCCCGUCCCGGCCUAACCGCGCACCGCCCGGCGUGCCCAGCCGCGGAAUGUGAGAUUCUAGCCGGCGGAAUAAGAUGGUGUGGAAUUACAAUCAGUGACCAAUGAGGAGUAACGCUUCUGUGGUCCCUGAGCUCACGGGCCAGAAGACGACACCGAAGGCUUUCAUGGUCCAGCAGGUCAAACACGAGCAGCCCCGACGGUCCCCUUCUCUCCACGUGACCCUUAAAACACUCUUCUUUCCUGCUUUCUUCUUCUUGGUUUUCCCCCCACAUUGAGUAAAACAACCCCAAACCCAGCAGCAACACGAGCAAAAAGAACAAGACGAGAUGUUUCCUGAACCCUCGGCUCAUCGUCCGGUUGAUCGCUAUGGUUAAAUCUUCUAGAAACUAGAGGCCUUCCCUGGAACAAAUCCUUUAAAUGACUUCCUCAUCGUAUUCAAAAGCCAUUUAUUCCUACACUGCAACAAAAAAAUCUGUAUUUUUGUCUCAUUUUCAAGUAAAAGAGUUUCUUUUGCAGUGUAAAGCUUACAGGUAUGAGGACGUGUGUUCACCCUUCGUGAUCGUGCACAGAAAUCAUUGGUUCGCUUAGUUAAAUCUGAACUUUUAGUGGGGCUGGAUUGAAUUUGAGAGUGCAAUAUAAUCACUAUACAAGCAUGUCAUUAAAACAUAAUAGAGCAGUUUUGGGGUGAACAGACACUUAAAACCUGUUUAAUUUAUUCCACAAAGGAAGUGUUUAUGACAUCUGUCAUGUCGGGAGGGUUUUCCACACACAGACUGUAUGGAAUUGAAUACUUGCUUACUUUAUAUACUUGCUGUGCAGUGUGUACUGUAUACUGCAUACUAUUUUCAAUGCACAGCAUGUGAAAGUGCACUAUUCAAUGUUAAACACACAAUGUUGUCAACUGCAUUGGAGCAUUUGCAAACUAUAUACUGCAGAAAUACUGAUGUUCUCAACAUAUCCAUAUACGAUUAAAUGUGCUGUAAAAUGCACAUGAUGUCCUUCUCAAAGAUAGUUUCUUAUUGCCUAAAAAAAAAUAAAAAAUCAUUUAUGGCAUUAAAAGCACGCUUUUUUUUCUGUGUGUGGACAAACUUUCCCCAAAAUAUGUGCUGUGCAUUGAAAUUACACACAUUUAUUUCAAGUCUGAUUUUCCUGUCUGUAAUUUAGUGUUUGUUAUGAAAGCAAAAAUGAAGUCUAAUAUCACUGCAGGUCUACGCAUAGAAAUCAUUAUAGUUUGUUUGGUUGAAAAAUGAGAAAAUAUGAGCGCAAUCUUCCACACCACCAGUGGACUGUAUUUCGUAAUUGUGUGGUUUGCUGUAAUAAUAAUAAUAUUAAUAAUGAAGCCCCUGUUGCUAAUAGUUGACGUUGUGUGGCAUGACCAGACCGUCUGCGGUUUCAACUGUGCCGUCGUUUCUGUCUUCAACAUUCACACCAAACCUUCCCCGAAUCCACUCCGAGUCUUAGUAAAACCCACUUAUGAGAAAACAAUUACUGUUAUUUAAGAGUUCAAAUGUGUGUCAUGGGCAUACUGUAUCUUAAGUGUGUCGCGUAUCUUUGUGGUGCAUAUGCAUAUUGUGACUAGUGUAGUCCACAUGUAUGAUUAUUGAAUAUUAAAUUAUUAUGGUUAAGUGAUUUCUUUAAAUUAAGCUUAUUAUCAUGUGUAAAGUGAGAGUCUAGAGGAACAAACCCGGGCCUCUUUCUGUGUUUGGACAGAAAGGUGUAACUAUAUUGAGUGUGUACUGUGUGAAUGAAUGAAUGUAACGUGUCCUCUGCUCACACCAGCUUGUCUGGCAGGGCUGUCAUUAUUAAAGUUAAGUGCAUCAAAA